GCCGGGGCCGGGGAGGGGGCGGGAGGAGUGGGGGCGGCAUGAGGGCCGGUGGCCCGGGAGGCUGAGGCGCCUGCCGCCUGCCGCGAGGCCGCGCGCGUCCUCCAUGGAGGCCGGAGAGCCUCCAUGAUGUCAAAAGGAUGGAUAAUGUGCAUGUUAAGGAGGAAGUGACCCAAGUUAUCAGGAUGGAAUACAGAAAUUUUCAUCCAGAGAAACCACUGCUGCUGGCCGAACUCAAGCCUGGGCGCCCCCAACAGUUUGAUUGGAAGUCGAGUUGUGAAACCUGGAGUGUGGCCUUCUCCCCAGAUGGCUCCUGGUUCGCGUGGUCUCAAGGACACUGCAUUGUCAAGCUGCUCCCCUGGCCGCUGGAGGAGCAAUUCAUCCCCAAAGGUUUUGAAGCCAAAAGCCGAAGCAGCAAGAAUGAUUCAAAAGGGCGAGGCAGCUCCAAGGAGAAGACCCUGGACUGUGGGCAGAUUGUCUGGGGCUUGGCCUUUAGCCCGUGGCCUUCUCCACCCAGCAGGAAGCUCUGGGCACGCCACCAUCCCCAAGUGCCAGACGUCUCUUGCCUGAUCCUUGCCACGGGCCUCAACGAUGGACAGAUCAAGAUUUGGGAGGUGCAGACAGGGCUGCUGCUUUUGACUCUUUCCGGCCACCAAGAUGUCGUGAGAGAUUUGAGCUUCACACCCAGUGGCAGUUUGAUUUUGGUCUCUGCAUCUCGGGAUAAGACUCUUCGCAUCUGGGACCUGAAGAAACAUGGUAAACAGAUUCAGGUGUUAUCGGGCCACCUGCAGUGGGUUUACUGCUGCUCCAUCUCCCCAGACUGCAGCAUGCUGUGCUCUGCGGCUGGAGAGAAGUCGGUCUUCCUGUGGAGCAUGCGGUCCUACACGUUAAUCCGGAAGCUAGAGGGCCACCAAAGCAGUGUUGUCUCUUGUGAUUUCUCCCCCGACUCUGCCUUGCUUGUAACGGCUUCUUACGAUACCAGCGUGAUCAUGUGGGACCCCUACACUGGCGAGAGGCUGAGGUCACUCCGCCACACCCAGCUUGACCCCCGCGUGGAUGACAGUAAUGUCCACAUCAGCUCUCUGAGGUCUGUGUGCUUCUCGCCUGAGGGCCUGUACCUUGCCACAGUGGCGGAUGACAGACUCCUCAGGAUCUGGGCCCUGGAACGGAAAACUCCAAUAGCAUUCGCUCCUAUGACCAAUGGUCUUUGCUGCACAUUUUUCCCACAUGGUGGAGUUAUCGCCACAGGAACGAGGGAUGGCCACGUCCAGUUCUGGACAGCUCCUCGGGUCCUGUCAUCACUGAAGCACUCAUGCCGGAAAGCCCUUCGAAGUUUCCUGACAACCUACCAAGUGCUAGCACUGCCAAUCCCCGAGAAAAUGAAAGGGUUCCUCACGUACAGGACUUUCUAAGCAACAUGGCUGUCCUAUACUUGCUUUCUUUCUAGCAGGAUAAAAUCUUCCUGGCAAAAGAGUAGCUGGCAUAAUGGGCCAAACAUCUGUUCUUGGAUCGAAAUAGAAGUUGUCUUUGGGAUUGUGAAUAGAAUGUAGCAAAACCAGAUUCUAGUGGGCUAAUCGUGGAUCUUUCUCCUUGACACGUGAAAGGCAGUCACCGAGGGAAUUCCACUUCAGUGGCGCAGCCUUACACCUUCAGUCCACUUAGAAACAGCAAUGUUGAACUCGCUCUAGUCCUUCUCACAAUACGGUUACUGAGUAUGUUUUGAUAAGAGUAAGAGGGCCUCAAGAGCCUCUGUGUAGUGGCAGAGAAGUUGACACUCCCUCAACUGGGAAGUGUGGCUUCUGCCUAGGACUUACCAUGUGUUUCAGACAUAGUGGUGGCAUUGUGAGAAGCCCUGUCCUGCUGGGUCAGUGACGCUGGCAAGUGCUUUCCUUCCUCUGGCUCCCCUCAGACCAGCAGGACAGUUCAUGGCGCCAUCUGAGAAGAGGUAUUAGCUUAACUAAAUGACAGGUAACUCAAGAGGCUGUGCUCCUGGCUGAUUAAGACACUAUGAUUGGCUUUUUUUUAACAAUGGUGUGUGCAUGUGCAGGAGAUGACAAAUCUGUGUGUCAGGUUACCCAAGGAUGUGUCCCUAACCUGCAUGACUUCAAAUGGCUACUGAGCUGUUGGUUGUCUGCCAUUUGUAGCCUAUUUAUUUGUAUUUUCUCAACAGAUGUUAAGGUACAACUGUGUUUUUCUUGAUGGUAUCUAAAAACCAUAGUACUUGUUGAACAGUUGUGAAGAUGUCUCUUCUUAAUUAUGUAAACAGUUGUCCCUUCAGCUGAUUUUCUUGUGGACGAGAUGAUCUGACUUUGCUGCUUCACCUCAUUGGACUCAUCAGCCAGUUUCAGCUCUACCCCUAAACAAAAAUAGCCCCUUACAAGUACUGUUCUCCUUCAGUGGUGUGUAGUUACUAAUCAAGACACCUCAUUCAGACAAGUCUGCCUUUGGAAAAUUUAAUAUAUUUAUUUAAAAAGAAAUGCAACAUCAUAUCCUUUGGCUUUCUUAAUAGGUGCUUUAUGGAGGUCAGUGUAAUAUUAUAAAACCUGUUGAAAAAGUAGAGGAGUCUCUCCUCUGCCACCUUUGUUGCUGAAGAAAAGCAUUUCAAGAUGAGAGGCUUUCACGGAAGGAUAAGAAAGUCUGUACCUAAAGGAGUGAAACGAAAAAUAAGACUAGAAAAUAUCACCAGCAGCAGCCUCCUG